rnacentral:tRNA from 1 species
GGGGGUGUAGCUCAGUUGGUAGAGCGCCUGCUUUGCACGCAGGAGGUCAGCGGUUCGAAUCCGCUCAUCUCCACCA